rnacentral:rRNA from 1 species
UAGGGAAUCUUCGGCAAUGGACGAAAGUCUGACCGAGCAACGCCGCGUGAGUGAAGAAGGUUUUCGGAUCGUAAAACUCUGUUGUUAGAGAAGAACAAGGACGUUAGUAACUGAACGUCCCCUGACGGUAUCUAACCAGAAAGCCACGGCUCACUACGUGCCAGCAGCCGCGGUAAUCCGUAGGUGGCAAGCGUUGUCCGGAUUUAUUGGGCGUAAAGCGAGCGCAGGCGGUUUCUUAAGUCUGAUGUGAAAGGCCCCGGCUCAACCGGGGAGGGUCAUUGGAAACUGGGAGACUUGAAUGCAGAAGAGGAGAGUGGAAUUCCAUGUGGAGCGGUGAAAUGCGUAGAUAUAUGGAGGAACACCAGUGGCGAAGGCGGCUCUCUGGUCUGUAACUGACGCUGAGGCUCGAAAGCGUGGGGAGCAAACAGG